UAAAAUGACAGGACUAUUACCUACCUUGCAGUAUUGUUGUAAAGACAUCCUUUGAAAAGGUUCCAGUAUAGGACUUGUCACCUAUUUCAAAAACUUUAUAAAUGGUCACUAGCUAUCAUUACUAUUAACUCUGCCAGUCACUGAGAGCAUGGGAAAGUAAAAAAAAAAAAAAAAUCAUGUGUUUUCUUGGUUGCCAAAUUAAGUUGAAACCAAUUUUCACAUUAACAGCAGGCAUUUGCUAACUAAGAAAACACAGCUACCAAUGAUGUUCCAAAAGAUGGUCUUUGAGUCUGACGAUCAUUUAAUGUGUCAUAUUCAAUUUGGGUGGAAACUUUUGCUGAAAUGUGAGAGUCUUGUUGAAUUUAAUUUUUCCUUUCUUGUCUCCCCAAGUGUCAUUAUGUGUAUCCUCAGAGGUAGAAGUUUUCUGACUGGGGCUUGGUUAGGACAGAAAUUUCAUGCUUUGAUUUUGCUUUGUGUUUGAGGUUAGCAGUGAAGAAUUCAGGAGAAGAAUUGUUGGAUGCUCUAGGGAAAAGUGUAGACGUCACCUUAGUUCUGUUAUCUGUAAAAUUGAAAAUGACAAAGUACAGCAGUGCUAAUAAGUGGUGCUGUAUUUAGUUGAGCUAAAAAAAUAAUAAUAAUUCACUACUUCUGAGGAAAUCGGAGCCUUUGAUGAAAACAGCUUUUUGACAAAUGAAAAAUUUUAAGACUAAAAUUUUAUUGUAACAUCUGUAUUCACUCAUUUACGCUUUUAACAAACGUUUGUUGAGCAUCUUCCCUGGGCCAGGCACUUUGUUAGAGACUGGAAUACUAAAAUGAGUAAGACUGUUGUGAAAGGAAAGAGAAGGCUCAAUUUAAUUCUAUAAUUUGAUAAGAGUUUCAGAAAGGGGCUGAUUGCAAAUGUAUAGACUGGAUUUAGAUGAAGUCACAAAAGAUGGUGCAGUACCUCAGGGGUCAUAACAGCGGGGAGCUGUUACCACUCCUUGGUCUAACUGAACAAAGGGAAGAGGAUAGACUCCAAUGUCACUCUUCUCCUGCCUUCUGAAACUCCUGCUGGUACUGCCCAUCAGCAAAUCCCCACUGGGAGGUAGAAGGAAAGGGUAAUCAUUAGUACAAUUCACAGAGGUCAGGCCUCCAGGGCAUGCAGCAAGGCAGAAAAGUUGGAGAAGGGAACUGGAAAGAGCAAAGGGAAGAAUCCAGCACAACUAGGAACUCCCUCAGGAUACUCUAUACUUGGUGCAAUGGUAGAAGACUGACACACAAGCAGAUACUUUUUAAUAAUCCAUAGUAAUUAACAUACUGAUAUUUACAAAAUAACAUAAUAACAUAAGAGCCCAGAUAAUAGAGCUACUAGCUUCAGUAUUAGAGGGCUUUAUUCUGCAUCUCAAAAGAUGAGUAUGAGUUUUUCUGCUGAUGGGAGAAGGAGGAAGAAUAUCAUAAGGGACAAAAAAAGGCAAAUCCAUAAAUCACAUAAAUAUAUAAAGCUUAUUUAGAAAUCAUCAGGAUGACCAAAGCAUAAGGUAUAUGGAACACAGGUAUAUGGGUUUGGGAUUUUGUGAGACUUUGUUUUGAUUGUUGGAGAAUAUUACCCAGAACCACCACACCAUGUUUAAUACGCAAGUAUAAGCUACUUGUGACCUGCCAGCUUCCUGAGAGGAGACGUCUGUUUUGUUCACCACUGUGCAUGCAGCACCUAGAAUAACAUUUGGCAUGUGUGAGGAGCUCAAUAGCUACUUGGAAAAUAGAUGAACUGGCAAACAAAAGAACUCCUCUAUCUGAAUCUAAGUCCCAUGUAUUUAUUUUAAUGUAUUAACAUUAAACUUGAAAUGUACUAGCAACCAAUACUAUGUUGAUUCUUCCUUUUUUGUUCUAGAAAUAAGCAGGUCUAAAGAACGGUGGUUUUGUGAAACAGGUACAAAGUGGGGAGUAAGGACAUCUCUUUUUCACUGGAAACAUCAUUUAGCCUUCUGUUUCUCAGCUCUCCUAGUACAGUAAAAUUGAACUCUCUCCCUCAGCUAUCUCCUGAGGUAAUCAUGAAAAUCAAAUGAGAUCAAAGGGACCUUGACAGGUGAAAAGUGCUGGACAGAUAGGAUGCAGAGAUGCCUCCUCCUUCAGCAACAAUAGAAACUGAGAGGGGCCACAUAAGCGAAUUUUUCAAAUGAUUAAAUUGUGUUCCACUAAACCAGGGUUUCUCAGUCUCAUCACUGUGCGCACUUAGGGUCAGAGACUUCUUUGUUAUGAGGACCUGACCUGUGCACUGUAGGAUGUCUUGCAGCAUCCCUAGCCUCCACCCACAAGAUGCCAUUGGCACUACCCCACUGCCAUUCCCAGUUGUGAUAAGCAAAAAUGUCUCCAGGCAUUACCAGAUGUCCCUUGGAGGGCAAAAUUGU
rnacentral:lncRNA from 1 species